rnacentral:rRNA from 1 species
CCUACGGGAGGCAGCAGUGAGGAAUAUUGGUCAAUGGACGAGAGUCUGAACCAGCCAAGUAGCGUGAAGGAUGACUGCCCUAUGGGUUGUAAACUUCUUUUAUAUGGGACUAAAAUGUUCCACGUGUGGGAUUUUGUAUGUACCAUAUGAAUAAGGCUCGGCUAACUCCGUGCCAGCAGCCGCGGUAAUACGGAGGAUCCGAGCGUUCUCCGGUUUUAUUGGGGUUAAAGGGAGCGUAGGUGGAUUGUUAAGUCAGUUGUGAAAGUUUGCGGCUCAACCGUAAAAUUGCAGUUGAAACUGGCAGUCUUGAGUACAGUAGAGGUGGGCGGAAUUCGUGGUGUAGCGGUGAAAUGCUUAGAUAUCACGAAGAACUCCGAUUGCGAAGGCAGUUCACUGGACUGCAACUGACACUGAGGCUCGAAAGUGUGGGUAUCAAACAGGAUUAGAUACCCCUGUAGUC